rnacentral:sRNA from 1 species
UUUUAUAUGUAUAAAUCUAUGAAUAAGUAUAUGUAAUUUCGGGUAAGCGGAUACUCUUUCGGGUAUCGGGUUCAGA